UACGUAGGUGGCAAGCGUUGUCCGGAUUUACUGGGUGUAAAGGGCGUGCAGCCGGAGAGACAAGUCAGAUGUGAAAUCCGCAGGCUCAACCUGCGAACCGCAUUUGAAACUGUUUCCCUUGAGUAUCGGAGAGGUCAUCGGAAUUCCUAGUGUAGCGGUGAAAUGCGUAGAUAUUAGGAAGAACACCAGUGGCGAAGGCGGAUGACUGGACGACAACUGACGGUGAGGCGCGAAAGCGUGGGGAGCAAACAGG
rnacentral:rRNA from 1 species